rnacentral:rRNA from 1 species
AUUGAACGCUGGCGGCAGGCUUAACACAUGCAAGUCGAGCGGGGUGAUGGUGCUUGCACUAUCACUUAGCGGCGGACGGGUGAGUAAUGCUUAGGAAUCUGCCUAUUAGUGGGGGACAACAUCACGAAAGGGGUGCUAAUACCGCAUACGUCCUACAGGAGAAAGCAGGGGAUCACUUGUGACCUUGCGCUAAUAGAUGAGCCUAAGUCGGAUUAGCUAGUUGGUGGGGUAAAGGCCUACCAAGGCGACGAUCUGUAGCGGGUCUGAGAGGAUGAUCCGCCACACUGGGACUGAGACACGGCCCAGACUCCUACGGGAGGCAGCAGUGGGGAAUAUUGGACAAUGGGGGGAACCCUGAUCCAGCCAUGCCGCGUGUGUGAAGAAGGCCUUAUGGUUGUAAAGCACUUUAAGCGAGGAGGAGGCUCUUUUGGUUAAUACCCAAGAUGAGUGGACGUUACUCGCAGAAUAAGCACCGGCUAACUCUGUGCCAGCAGCCGCGGUAA